rnacentral:rRNA from 1 species
UGGGGAAUAUUGCACAAUGGGGGAAACCCUGAUGCAGCGACGCCGCGUGAAGGAAGAAGUAUUUCGGUAUGUAAACUUCUAUCAGCAGGGAAGAAGAUGACGGUACCUGAGUAAGAAGCACCGGCUAAAUACGUGCCAGCAGCCGCGGUAAUACGUAUGGUGCAAGCGUUAUCCGGAUUUACUGGGUGUAAAGGGAGCGUAGACGGAUAGGCAAGUCUGGAGUGAAAACCCAGGGCUCAACUCUGGGACUGCUUUGGAAACUGCAGAUCUGGAGUGCCGGAAAGGUAAGCGGAAUUCCUUGUGUAGCGGUGAAAUGCGUAGAUAUUAGGAGGAACACCAGUGGCGAAGGCGGCUUACUGGACGGUGACUGACGUUGAGGCUCGAAAGCGUGGGGAGCAAACAGG